CUGCGACAUGUUUUGCUGUGAGCCAGGAGCAUGAGGCUCAGCUUUGAUAAGUCUUUUCCAGUUAAAAUAAAACUUUAAAUACCUUCCAGUGUUUCACGGUAGCUUUGAAGGCAUCGUCGUUUUACCCUCCUUCAUUGGACCAUAAAGAUUCGAACCAA